CAGUUACAUGUUGGAGAUGGGGAUUUCUGGAUUGGACUCUAUCGCAGCCUCCAGCAUCCAAGGAGAGGCAGCACAACCUCCACUUGCCCCUCACAGUAUUAUUGGCUGGAUGGAAGCAAGACAAAGUACAGGUUUUUUCUUUUGGCAUUUUAUACAGCAAUACUUUGUAUGGAGUGAGUUGAAGCAAAUAAUUUGAGAAGAAAGUAAUAAACUGUAACUUAGGUAAGCAGCUAAGGUGGAUGUGACCUACGCUUACAUCAUGAAUCCUGUUUGCAUCUAGGAACUGGCACUGGGAUGAGCCUUCAUGUGGCAAAGAAAGGUGCGUGGUUUUGUAUUACCAGCGCUCUCGACCAUUUGAAGACAGCCGUUUCCCUUUCCAGUGGAUGGAUGACAACUGUAGCUCCAAGAACAACUUUAUCUGCAAAUACCAGGAAGAAAAACUGCCUCUAUUUACAGCUCCAUCUCCUAAGCCAAAUGUAGUGCCAACAACAGAGGAAGAUGAAAACAUGAGGAUAGUGCACGGAUCAUCAGGUAAGAGCUUAAAAGACCACAUCGAACUCUUUGGGAGGCUAUAUGUAUUGUGUGUGGGUUUUUUUUAAGAUUUUGUUUUGCAGUCGUGUUUAAAUAUACCUAAGACCAAUAACAUGUCUUUUGUGGCAGUAUCUUUUUCAGACAACUCUCUUAAUGUUUCCUACAUCCUCUGUGCUACCAUCCCUGCUCUCCUGCUGCUGCUGUUUGCAGUCACUGGACUCCUCUGCUACAAACAACAUGGGAAAAGGAGGAAGACAGAGACAAAAAGCUUUUCUGGCAGAUCAAAGCACGGAACAACAACAAUAGCUUCGCCUUGCCCCGUUCAAGGACCUUACGCCUUCAGUGAUAUCACUAGACUACCCCACUCUGUCCUGGACGGCAGGAUGACAGCUAAAAGGACUGAGUAUUCUUGUUCUCCUUCACUUAAUUCCUUAUGUGACGAUUAUGAGAAUGUAACAAGUGUGGACAGGGAAAGCGGCUUCGUGUCCAAUGACAUUUAUGAGAGCUGCAGGGCUCAAAGCCAGCAGUGCCACAGCCAGACUGGAUGGGUGGAAAACGAGAUCUAUGGAUGAUUCCACCUAUACUCAUUGCUGAUGAUGUUCCAAUGGAUUCCUGGAAAGAACUCAGACUGUUCCUGCUCCUGUUCUUGCUGCACAUCCAGCUGGACACCUGGAGGUGGAGAAAUAACACAUGUUCAUCUGGAUUUAAAUAGACUGUGGUUUACCAGGCAGAAACAUGCUAACCAGCUGUACGUGAGCUGUAACAUCUUUGUCUGCUGAGACUCAAUAUUUAGGUCCUAAAAAUGAUUAUUUUUUGGCGGUCAUAAUAAUAAAAGGUAUUAUUAAGACAAACAAAGCCUUUACUUUUGUUAAUUUCACUCUGAUAAGCAUCAGGCGUCUAUAAAUUGUAAAGAUUUGUGGAUUCGUGUGUGAAUAGGUUAAAGUUGCAAGCAUGUUUCAAAUAAUCAUACAGAAUAAUGUGAUUUGGUAUUAGUAAUACAAGUCCUGUUCCAAUCUAGACAUGUUUUGUUUUUACCCAAGGGUUUAUAAUCUGUCAAUAAAGCUUUGUGCUACAAACUAUAUUCUUGUCUUUUCUUUAAUUUAAUCCAGCAUUAGCUGUGUUUUGUUUCUG
ensembl:lncRNA